rnacentral:lncRNA from 1 species
AUAGUGGAUGUGCAUGGCUUGGCAAUUUUGUUAUUUUUAAUGUUAGGUAAGGGUAAAUUUGUAAUUAAGUAAUAAAAGAUAAUAUAAAUAAAACAAAAAUCCCAUUUCCUUGUCCAUCUUCUCCUGGUCGAUUGUAGAAGGAAGAAAAACACCAUUUUUUAGCUUCAACAUUCGACCAUCUCUCUCUUGUGCAUGUAGGUGCGUUUUUG